UAGUGAUGCUGCGCCGAAGAUUUAACGGGGCUAAGUGUAUAACCGAAGCUUAGGCAGUUUUAAAACUGGGUAGGGGAGCGUUCCAUAUAGGGCGAAGCAUAAGCGAAAGCGUGUGUGGACGGUAUGGAAGUGAGAAUGCCGGAAUGAGUAGCGAGAAUUGCGUGAGAAUCGUAAUGGCCGAAAAUCUAAGGUUUCCAGGGGUAGGUUCGUCCGCCCUGGGUAAGCCGGGAGCUAAGGCGAGGCCGAAAGGCGUAGUCGAUGCACAUACGGUAGAGAUUCCGUAGCCGCCGAAGAUUUAAAUAUACUGACACAUGUGAGGAGCGCAAGCCGGGCGUUGGUAGACCCGGUCGAAAGGGACUGAAAUAUAGUAGGGAAGUGCGUAAGUCAUGUGGCGAGAAAAGGUAUAUGUACAUUGAAGGCGCCCGUACCGCAAACCGACACAGGUAGAUGAGGAGAGAAUCCUAAGGCCAACGGGAGAAGGGUUGUUAAGGAACUCGGCAUAUUAACCCCGUAACUUCGGGAUAAGGGGAGCCUCCGAAAGGAGGUCGCAGUGAAAAGGCCCAGGCGACUGUUUAACAAAAACAUAGGUCUCUGCAAAACCGAAAGGUGAGGUAUAGGGGCUGACGCCUGCCCGGUGCCGGAAGGUCAAGGGGAACACUCAGAGCAAUCGAAGGUGUGAACUUAAGCCCCGGUAAACGGCGGCCGUAACUAUAACGGUCCUAAGGUAGCGAAAUUCCUUGUCAGGUAAGUUCUGACCCGCACGAAUGGCGUAACGAUCUGGGCACUGUCUCAACAGCCCGCCCGGCGAAAUUGUAGUACCGGUGAAGAUGCCGGUUACCCGCGACUAGACGGAAAGACCCCAUGGAGCUUUACUGUAGCCUGAUAUUGAGAUUCGGUUCAUUAUGUACAGGAUAGGUGGGAGACUGUGAGACAAUGGCGUCAGCUGUUGAGGAGUCGUUGUUGGGAUACCACUCUUGAUGAAUCGGAUUUCUAACCUGCGCCCGUGAAUCCGGGCGGGGGACACUGUCAGGUGGGCAGUUUGACUGGGGCGGUCGCCUCCAAAAGAGUAACGGAGGCGUUCAAAGCUCGGCUCAGCGCGGACGGAAAUCGCGCAAUGAGUAUAAACGUAGAAGCCGGGUUGACUGCGAGACCAACAAGUCGAGCAGGUACGAAAGUAGGAGUUAGUGAUCAGGUGGUAGUGAGUGGAAAUGCCAUCGC
rnacentral:rRNA from 1 species